CCUACAGUAGCUCUCCAGGAGCAGGAUUGGAGACCCCCGCCUUAGAAUGAGAAACAACGCAAGCAGAUAGGAAAAGUUUGAAUAAGAAGGGGGGAUACAGAACCAGAAGGGAACUGUGUGUUUUAAUCACAUGCCUCAUAUCAUAGUCGAGUAUGACAGCUAAUUGACAGUUGAGACGGGAUACAGGGAUGUGUAAACAGUCCACGCUGAGAACAUGUUAUGCUGUUGCUCCGCACAGUCUGGCGGAUGGAUCAACGUCUUGGCUGUCUUCUGAUCUGCCUGACACAACGAAUGGCCAAGUCUGUGAAUAGAGAUCAGGGAUAGAGUUACCGCAGAUGCAGCCUGCUUUCACGCGCGGCCCUGUUGCAUCUGUCUCAGCUGGUCAGCGUUCCCAUGACAUCUGGAGCACUGGCAUGACUGAGGCGUGGUAGAGCAGGGGGCGAGCCCGGAACAUUCCCAGGGAAUGCUCCCUAAUCCACGGAAACGUUCCCUGUCUUCCUGUAAUCCUGUUCCUCAAACCAUCGCUCCGAAGAGAAGGCGCGGGGCAUCAGGAGGACCUUGGGGAUCCACUUCAGCGUGUCAUCAGGUUGAGGUAUAGAGUUCCUCUUGUCCUCGCUGGACCGUCAGGCAAACUGCCAUCUCCUCCACUGUCAGUGCAUUCAUCAGCGCUACGGACACGUACAUGCAGCACAAGGUGCAAGCUAAGGGAUUUUAUGACAAGAUAUGAGAGAUUAAUGUUUUAUUUAAUUCUCUGUCCUAUUUUGUCAAAAGUACAUGAAAAGUUAUCGGCUUUGUGACACAUAUUUUAGCCCUGGCAUAACAUCUUGUCAGAGCAGCGAGCUUUGCUAGACAGGGGUAUCCAUUAGUCAGUUUGUCAAUGUAGUUAGUCAAACAUUGCUCAAAACAUCAGCAUAAUGGAUGACAUGCUGAAUCUAUUAGCCAUGGGAAUAAUUAAAAUCAGGGGAAACAGUCAUAAAUAUCUCAUGAGUUUUCACUUGAACGGAGACUUUAGCAUUUGUCUAUCAGCGCCGACUCUUAGACUUCAUGACCCCCGUCAUGGCCUUGCUUAGUGUGUCUUGGAGGCUGAGCGACAGGUGCAGGCUGAUGAUGUCAGAGGGCGGUUUGUGUUUUGCACCCCAGGCUCCGUUCCCAUGGUCACCGUGGCUUCAUAGCUGCAUUGGUGAACAAAUGGAGUAUGACACCAGCAUCACAGCUAUUAGACUAAUCAGUGUGAAUCCCAUCCCAUCACAGUAUGCCUUCACACCCUUCUCUGAAGUACAACUUUAUAAUAGAGGACAAGAUACUUUGUGUUUAGUAACAAUUUGUAGUCAAACUGCAAACUGGUGAUGUAUUCUGAUAUGUUACAGUAAAUAUUUGCCAAA